CCGCGAUCUCCUUCCCUUCGCUGCGGCCGCCGCCGCCUCCCACCCCCACAGCCCUCCUCUGCCCCAACACCCAGCGGCCGCCGAAGCCUCCUCCACCCCACGGCCCUCCUUUAUCCCGCCUCUGUCUGGCUCGCCCCUGGUCGCCGCGAUCUCCUUCCCUUCUCUGCGGCCGCCGCCACCUCCCACCACCGCGGCCAUCCUCUGCCCCGCCACCCAGCGGCCGCCGACGCCUCAUCCACCCCACGACCCUCCUCUGUCCGACUCGCCGCUCGCCCGCCGCCGCCGCCGCGAUCUCCACCUACGAUCCGCGCACGCCGUCGGAGGCACGCGAUGAGGAGGCUGCCGACGCUGCCUCCUCCCCUCCGAGGCCCUCCUCUGACCCGCCUCCCACCAGGCCCUCCGGCCCUGCCUCUGCCCGCCACGCCCGUUUGCCAGCCGUCACCGGCGAUCUCCACCUGCGAUCCAUGGCCGCCGUUAGAGUCUCCCGGGUCCUCAAUUCCGUGACACCGUCCUGGAACAAUAAUUGAUCAAGUAUGUAUAGAAUUCACCAUUCUGCAUGCUUCGUAUAGAAAUAAGGUGCAAUAUCCUAUUUGUAUUCAUUGACAUUCUUUUGUUAUAACGGUCCAAACCUACGACACAUCAUCCAAGUCACAAUAUUUAUCGUCAUAUUGUUUGUAUUGACCUGAUGAUUAUAUUCUUCUUAAAGUUGAAAUCUACUCAAGCUAAAGUUGAUUUGAAUGAGGUGCAGAUGUGUUGUUUCAAUUUUGUGCAAUUGAAGUUUGUUUGUGUCACGUCCGACUCAUGUUCGCGUGGUUUUCCGGUGAAGAUGCAUCUGAAGCUUCAGUUUUGUGUUUGUAUAAUUAAAUUAGCAUUUGUAAUUAGGUGACUGAUCAAUGGAGAAAUUCUUUGCUCUCAGCGCAGAGUAAGAAACAACAAGCACAAAGGAGCGGCUCUUGGAAGAGCUGGUUGGGCUAUGUGCUCUACCUUCUCCACAGUUCAUUUCAGAAAUCAUUGGUUUCAGAUUCUUUAGGUUCUUUUUUCUCCAAAUAGUGAGCAGGUUUGCACCAGGCUCUCACUUCACUCUUGGAAAGAAACUUGGAAUUGGUAGCCCACUGUUGGGAAUAUAGAAAUAUACAUGUUGUAUUCACGGUGAGAAGAAUUGGAUCGAAGUUUGAUGUUGCUGCGUGCAAGGAUUUUCAGUUUCUGAGAUGCUUUCUCUUCUAGCGUUUUGUUUCAUGGUGCACCAGAUUGUAGUGAUUAGGCCUCAUGUUCUUUUUUCUCCAAAUAGUGAGCAGGAUGACUAUGAAGUUAUUCGGAAAGCUGGGAGAGGCAAAUACAGUGAAGUCCUUGAGUGAAUCAAUGGUAACAAUAGUUAGAAAUGUGUUAUUAAGAUACAAUAAUGAGAAAUGUUAUUAAGAGCUUCAGUAGCGAUUUGAGAGAACAAAAA